UGGUAUGAGGUAUAAUGCUUUUCUGACGUACCCUCCUAUAAUGGGGUGGGGAUUCCACGGAUAUGGCAAUAUGAUUAACGGACAUUCUGGGGGAGGCAGAUAUAUGAAAGGUGGCAACAGUUACGGAUACAGAAAAGUGUUCAGAGGCUAUGGUAUCCGAAAGAUGUUGGGCGGUCAUAUUCGUGGUUACGGCUACGGAAAAGUGUUUGGUGGUUACGACUACGGUCAACCUUUGGGGGGUUACGGUUAUGGUGGAAUGUUCGGAGUUUACGGCUACGGUCAACCUUUGGGAGGUUAUGUCUAUAGUGGUAUGUUCGGAGGUAAUCGAUUUGGCAACACGGUGGGCGGCCAGUUAGGAAACUUUGGCUUUGGUGGAUUCGGCGACAUUGACAGAGAUGAUGACUGAAAGAUGAAACGAGUGAAAACUAUAUAUAAAUAGAGGAUAUCAAAGAAGCAGCGUUACUAUGGAUGCUAUUUUUCAAUUGCAAAUGAAAGGAGUGACCAGGACUCAAUCAUGAACAAUAUGCACGAUGUAGUGCUGGCUUCUACGACGUCUGCUAGUUUUUAUAUUUUUAUAUCUUAGGACUGUAGGUCCUUGUGUGUUUAAUGACAGAUGGUUCUUGUUUAUGUAUUUAUGUAUUUGAAACAUGAAUAAAUAAUAAAUAAUCUUG